UGAAUGGACCAUCUUCAUCUCCACUGCAAGUAUAGCAAACAGAUGAUUAAAGCCCUUUGAUGCUCAGAGUGCCCUGCCUGCUUCCUGCACCUCGAACACCCACGCUACAGUAUGCACCGCCUGCGCUUUAUCUCCCAACUCCACUUCUGUUACCUUGGCGCAUGAUGCCUUCAGGGUCCUUUGAAGCAUCGGUAGAUCCUGCACCAGAGAGGGAAGGUUCACAUUUAGGUCACUGUAAAAGCAAAGGGAUGAAAUGUCGUCUGUACCUGCAGAAGUCUGUCAACAAACCCAGAAAGCAAAGAAACAGACUGAUGGAUUAUUCAUGGAAACUCUAUUAAAACUGAAAACAUGGAUUAUAAAAUCUAAACUUUUCCUCA